rnacentral:lncRNA from 1 species
UGAACCCAUCCGAUUUAGACUCCACGCUGACACCUUUAAACAAAGGAACCAGGGACGCAACCGAAAGCAGAACACUGGUCCCCAAGAACCAGGCAACUCCACCGUCUGAUAACUGGGCAAACACAUCCUGACCCUUGGAUAGCUCCACCGCCAAUGCAGCCACGAACCCAAUCAUCGCAAGCCUCCCGUUUAUCCUCUCCGGUGCCGGCCCGCUGAACGCAAACACGUCAGAGAACUUCGUGCUUAUACGCGGUAGCUUUGGUGGCUGAGUUGAUUGAUCCUUCUGCUGCUCAUUCUACAAAAUUGUUAUUGCACCCAUGCAAUUAGUGUAAAGUCUCUAGUUCUCAAGCAAAAGUAAAAAGUAAAUAUAAAGCAGAACUCUAGCCUUUACUUACCUUAGCCAUGCAGCGCACUGAUAAGCUAACAUUUCUCUGCAGAGUACCAGGUAAGUACUUAACAGAGGAAAAUUGGUACACCCCAGAUUUCCUGAUGCCGGUAACACGAGCUGCGACGACAGAGCUUCCAAGCAUAGAUUGAGUGGCGAGUGAAGCAGCCAUUUUUGUAGAUUAUGCAACGGAGGAAUAAUUUAGCAACUGGGAGUUUUUAGGUUAAUGGGCUCCUUACUUGCAAUUUUGAUGAUCAGUAAGAGCAUACGUUGCAUGGUAUUUAUAGUAAGUAAUAAAGUGUGGGGAGGGGAAGAGAGUGAUGGAUAUUUAGGUUCCACGUAGUCUAGAUCUUUCGCCAAAAGUUACUUGGUUCACGUGACUUCGCUGGUCCACAUAGGUGAUGGAGCUUGGGACGUGGCCUGGUUACACUCACCGGAGGGAAAGCUUGUGAAUCUGAGGCCAACGUUGUUCCUAGGUUUCGAGUUAGGCCACGACUACGACUAGGUCAUUCUAGUCAUCUCAUCUUAUGUCGCCACAUGCUCAUAGCUGGUCCUAACUUGAACACGGAAACAAAAUUUGUCACUAAGUGUUUGUUUCUUCCUUUAGCUGGCUAGCAGCUACUUAGCUUGUUUGCUUGUGUUUUUUUUUUUUUUUGCAGUCUGUAGCGAUCAACUUGGCAAAAGUUAUUCCGUGCUUUCGAGGUGCAUGGCGCCUGCAAGUCAAUGAGUUUCACCUCCCUCCCGUAUAUUUAUUCGGAUUCAAUUUUAUAUUAUAUGUAAUUUUAAUUUCUAAUUAAUUUCAUUCGAAUAUAACUGGAUGUUCCGAUUUAUCCAAAACCAAGAAUAACAAUUCAAUUCAUCGUAACUAUAUAUUCUGGUUACAAAUGAGUGUCAAUUAAUUCGAUUGGUAAAAUCUCUUAAAUCAUUUAUGUCAUGUUAAAUACAGUGAUAAUUUUAUAAAUAAAUGAAAAUCAAGCCUUGAUAAUCUACCUGAUCGAAUUAAUAUCAUCUUUGACAUUGUUUAAAUUAUUUUAUUCUCGAAAGAUAAUCAAUUUAGGAAUGACAAAAUCUAAAUUGAAGUGUAGGUGCAUCCAAAUCUGAAUCCACAUUAAUUUUUCAGGAUUCAGAAGUUGGUAAAUUUAUACAGAUUCUAAGCGAAUAUUCUUGAUAUGUGGAUCCGCACAUUUAAAACAUUUAUUUACAAAACUAUAACAUUUUACCAAUAUAAAAAAUAAAAAAAAAUAAUAAUCAUUCAAUACUAAACAAAUCUAGAAUAAAUAUUAAUAACAAUCCAAGUUAAUAGCACCACAAAUGACAAAUUUAAAAUAAUAUAAAGUACUGAACAAAUCUAAAAUAAUAUAAGAUAAUGUUUAAGCAUACUUGGGUGUGUUAUCCUAUUUAUGUGUGAUGUGUUUUUAACUUAGGGCUUAUAUUUUCUUAUAUAUGUCUUAUUUUUUAUUUAAUUAAUUUUAAAAAAAAUAUGCAGAUCUGAAUACCUAGUUAUCCAUCCUCAAUAUCCACAUCUUGAUUCACAUUUUUUAUUAUGCAGAUUCCGAUCUCUGUGGAUGCAAACUAGAUCCCAAUUUUCUUGUCAUCCCUAAGCAAAAGCUUUUCCUCACAAUUAGUUUCCUGUAUAAGAAGGAUUCUUUAUUUUCUUCAUAUUUUAGUAUUCGGAAUUUUCUCCUCAAACUCAAGGUUUAGCUAUUACUAUAAAUUUUAAUGUCACAAAGGCUAAUUCUUGAGCAAUAAAUCAGACUUUCAGCCAUUGCCAAAUUCGGAGGUUUAGCUUUUCCACACAAUUAGUUUCAUGUAUAAAUACAUAUUUGAUAUGACUUAUUUAAUAUGUAUAAGUGCUUAUUUAAUCUUAUAAACUCUUAUCAUAGUUUUUUUUUCUUGUUUGGUUAUUUUUUUAAUAAAGAUUUUGAACCUUAAAUAAGAUAUGUUAUCUCUACUAGUAAAAGCUCAAAUUUUAAACUUUUAUGGAAUAGAUGUUGAAAAACUUUUUUUAAAUGUUAAAAUAUAUAAAAUAUCCUCUAAUUAUUUAAAAAUCUUAUUUUAUUUUUUAUAAUAUAAUUUUAAAAAACUUGUUUAUUAAAAUAAUUUCUUAAAUUUUUAAUAAAAACUUUUAUUGAGAACCAAACAACUAAAAUUUUUAUAAUAAAAAACUCUAUUAACUAAAGCUCUACUUAAAAUAAUCUCUACUUAAAAAAUUAUACCAAACGGAAUCCAAGAAUGACUCUUUAUUUUCUUCAUAUUUUAGUAUUCGGAAUUUCCUCCUCAAACUCAAGGUUUAGCUAUUACUAUAAAUUUUAAUGUCACGAAGGCUAAUUCUCAAGCAAUAAAUCAAACUUUCAGCCAUCGCCAAAUUCGGAGGUCAAUUCCUUCGAAGCGAUUAAAAUUAAUUUUCUUAAUUUUACUUCAGCUUUUCAGUUAGAGCCAUAUGAUCUUAAUAAUAGUUUAGCUGGUUGGCUUCUUGCCUUAUAAAGCACUAACAACAUUCAGUUUCUGCAAAUGAGAAUUCAGAGAACAGAGAUAGGCUCAAACUCAGGAUUGCACCAUACCUCUAGAUGAGCUCAUAUCUUCAACAAACACAACAUAUGAAACCAAAAAAAAAAAAAAAAAAUUGUUAAGCUUCCAUAGAUACUUCAGUUUAUCCAUUUGCACCUGUUCUUAUUCAAUUAACUUUUCUACUUCAAAAAUGAUCCGAUGUUGUUACGUUAAUUACUGUUUAAUGUAAAUUAAUGAAUAUUAGCUUUAAAAUUGCCGGCUCCCUGAGUGCGACACAAAUUGCAUAGAAGAAUUUUGUGGCCAUGGUAAAAAAAUUACAAGUAUUCCACAACUGGGUGUGGCACUCUUGGGCUCGUAGCAAUGAACUUGAGGGCACAAGUUUAAGUCUCAACUCUUAACUUUGUAUUAAUCAUGAAUACGAGUAGAGUACACAUCUUUUUUUAUCUUCAAAGAAAGAUACAUCUCAAUAUUGUAAUAAAUUUCUGAAUUAUCAUAAUAAUAUUAAUCCAUAUUUGUUCCAGUAAACUUAUGACUGUAUGAUUAGAUAUUAGUUAGUAAUAAAAGGAAAAAAAAACUAGAAAAUGGUGGUUGAAUUACAGAAUGGCAUGAGAAAUAGAGAUUUAAUUACAGUAGGAUCUCAUACAUUAAUUAGUUAAAAAAAAUACAGAUCUACAGAUCUAAACAAAAUUAAGCUUAAACAAGGGUGCCACCCUUAACAAACUCGGUGAAAGCCAAAGCAACAAGGCCCAGCAUAGCAAACCUCCCAUUCCACAACUCAGCAUCCGAAGUCAUGAACCCAUCCGAUUUAGACUCCACGCUGACACCUUUAAACAAAGGAACCAGGGACGCAACCGUGAGCAAAACACUGGUCCCCAAGAACCAGGCAACCCCACCGUCUGAUAACUGGGCAAACACAUCCUGACCCUUGGAUAUCUCCACCCCCAAUGCAGCCACGAACCCAAUCAUCGCAAGCCUCCCGUUUAUCCUCUCCGGUGCCGGCCCGCUGAACGCG